AACCUAGCACACCUGCGGUGUGUACCUGCGGAGGGAUCAUUAUCGAGUGUUUAAAACCCUUUAAAAAAAAAAGGGUUUACCUCCCGUCCUUUGCUGAAGGGCACCCCCCUAAAACUUAGGGGGGGCUUUACAGAAAAACCUUACUUCGGUGUGGUAUAUAACCUACCGGAAUACCCUCAAAAAUUCUUUAUUAUAAAUUGUUCAGUCCGAGAAAAUAUUUUGAAUAAAUGAAAAACUUUC
rnacentral:misc_RNA from 1 species